ACCUGUAACGGGUCUUCACCAGAAGGUGCACCGUCAUCCACACUCACCUCCCUGCCACUACCCUUGCAGGAGCCCAGUUCGAGUCCUGUGGUGUCCACUCCACUCAUUUAGGUAACUAAUGAUGCUGGAUGGACCUAAGCAAUGAAUACAACCAGACGAGGGAAGAAAUUCUGCAGUCGGGUAUUCACCAUGGGACGGCGGCGCUGGAUUACUCCCACGAGGGUUGGGGGGCAAGUGUGGGCUGGGGUAUCGACUGGUAUUUU
rnacentral:SRP_RNA from 18 species